GACGAACGCUGGCGGCGUGCUUAACACAUGCAAGUCGAACGGAAAGGCCCUGCUUUUGUGGGGUGCUCGAGUGGCGAACGGGUGAGUAACACGUGAGUAACCUGCCCUUGACUUUGGGAUAACUUCAGGAAACUGGGGCUAAUACCGGAUAGGAGCUCCUGCUGCAUGGUGGGGGUUGGAAAGUUUCGGCGGUUGGGGAUGGACUCGCGGCUUAUCAGCUUGUUGGUGGGGUAGUGGCUUACCAAGGCUUUGACGGGUAGCCGGCCUGAGAGGGUGACCGGCCACAUUGGGACUGAGAUACGGCCCAGACUCCUACGGGAGGCAGCAGUGGGGAAUAUUGCACAAUGGGCGGAAGCCUGAUGCAGCAACGCCGCGUGCGGGAUGACGGCCUUCGGGUUGUAAACCGCUUUCGCCUGUGACGAAGCGUGAGUGACGGUAAUGGGUAAAGAAGCACCGGCUAACUACGUGCCAGCAGCCGCGGUGAUACGUAGGGUGCGAGCGUUGUCCGGAUUUAUUGGGCGUAAAGGGCUCGUAGGUGGUUGAUCGCGUCGGAAGUGUAAUCUUGGGGCUUAACCCUGAGCGUGCUUUCGAUACGGGUUGACUUGAGGAAGGUAGGGGAGAAUGGAAUUCCUGGUGGAGCGGUGGAAUGCGCAGAUAUCAGGAGGAACACCAGUGGCGAAGGCGGUUCUCUGGGCCUUUCCUGACGCUGAGGAGCGAAAGCGUGGGGAGCGAACAGGCUUAGAUACCCUGGUAGUCCACGCUGUAAACGGUGGGUACUAGGUGUGGGGUCCAUUCCACGGGUUCCGUGCCGUAGCUAACGCUUUAAGUACCCCGCCUGGGGAGUACGGCCGCAAGGCUAAAACUCAAAGGAAUUGACGGGGCCCCGCACAAGCGGCGGAGCAUGCGGAUUAAUUCGAUGCAACGCGUAGAACCUUACCUGGGUUUGACAUGGAUCGGGAGCGCUCAGAGAUGGGUGUGCCUCUUUUGGGGUCGGUUCACAGGUGGUGCAUGGCUGUCGUCAGCUCGUGUCGUGAGAUGUUGGGUUAAGUCCCGCAACGAGCGCAACCCUUGUUCACUGUUGCCAGCACGUUAUGGUGGGGACUCAGUGGAGACCGCCGGGGUCAACUCGGAGGAAGGUGGGGAUGACGUCAAGUCAUCAUGCCCCUUAUGUCCAGGGCUUCACGCAUGCUACAAUGGCUGGUACAGAGAGUGGCGAGCCUGUGAGGGUGAGCGAAUCUCGGAAAGCCGGUCUCAGUCCGGAUUGGGGUCUGCAACUCGACCUCAUGAAGUCGGAGUCGCUAGUAAUCGCAGAUCAGCAACGCUGCGGUGAAUACGUUCCCGGGGCU
rnacentral:rRNA from 1 species